CAACGAAGGUCAGUGCAAGUGGGGGGCGGCCUGCCACUUCAAGCAUCAAUGCGCGGGCUGCGGUGGGACUCACGGGCUCCAGAGAUGCUAUAAGAAAGGUAAGUCGGGCGGAGCCGGAGCGCCCGGGGGCAGUGGGACAGCUGCUGCCCCGGGGCCUAACCCCGGUGAGGCUCGACGCGAUGGAACCCUGGCGAAGCCGCUACGGUAAUAAGGGGGACGCGGAACUGCUUAGGUCGGGGUUUGGACAGGGGUUUUUCAUCCCCUUCCGAGCGAGGGUGGGUUCGUUGUGUACGCGUAAUCUGAAAUCGGUAAGGGAAUUUCCGGAUGUGGUCCGGGAGAAGCUUAGUAAGGAGGUGCGGUUGGGCAGGAUGGCAGGUCCAUUCUCAGCGCCGCCGCUUGAGGG